CGUAGAGGUCGAGCAGGGCGCGGCUGGACCGCUGGCGCCCGUGAAGAAUCCGUCGCGGGCCUGCCUCGGCUAGGUGGGCGAGGAGCAUUCGACCCGAGCCGCGGAUCGCUCCCGUCGAUCUUGAGCGGAGGAGGCAACCACGGCUGCUUCGGUCGUGCUCGUGCACUGGCUGCCGUGCGCGACGCAGCCGGUUCUUUAGGCGCUGGUCGCGUGACAUCCGUGGCGAGAUCCGAGUGUAGCGGAUGGCCUGGCUGCGACCGCCAUGACGAUGAUGCUGCAGCUGGUGGUGAUGAAAGGUGCGGCGCAGGAGGCACGGACAAGAACGACCACGGCCAUGACACCGGCACCGAACUAAUUGAGAUGGCGGUGUGAAUGCGGUCAUCAACAAGAAGGCCGGUAGAGUUGGAAGAAAGCGUGCUGCGUUGGACUUGGAUGCUCUAAUGGCUGUACCUCCGAAGGAUCGAAAAACGAUCCGAGAUGUCGCUAGUGCAUUGAAUAUGAAGAAGACCACCGUUCACAAGUUGUUGAAGGAGCACAACUUUCGCAAACACACGAACGGCCUCGGACCUUCGGUAACCGGAAGGCAACAGGAAAGCUUCUGGCUUGCAUGCGGGAAAUAAUAAGACACAAGGGGUCCAUAGACUAUGAGCUUCUUCACAUUUUGGAUAGGUCAUUAGAGAGAAGGGGCAUCCAGCUGCCUAGGCUAGCUUGUGUGCCUGAAUUCGCAGCAGCGAUACUUGAGUAUCCCAGUACGAACUAGAUUGAUUUGAAUGAAAUUCCUUAUCUUCUAUUGUCUAA